GCGUGAGUGAUGAAGGCUCUUGGGUCGUAAAGCUCUGUCAGAGGGGAAGAAACACCUAUCAUAUAAUACAUGGUAGGCUUGACGGUACCCUCAAAGGAAGCACCGGCUAACUCCGUGCCAGCAGCCGCGGUAAUACGGAGGGUGCAAGCGUUGUUCGGAAUUAUUGGGCGUAAAGAGCGUGUAGGCGGCUCGCCAAGUCUGAUGUGAAAGCCCUGGGCUCAACCCAGGAAGUGCAUUGGAAACUGGCGAACUUGAGUACGGGAGAGGAAAGUGGAAUUUCGAGUGUAGGGGUGAAAUCCGUAGAUAUUCGAAGGAACACCAGUGGCGAAGGCGGCUUUCUGGACCGAUACUGACGCUGAGACGCGAAAGCGUGGGGAGCAAACAGGAUUAGAUACCCUGGUAGUCCACGCCGUAAACGAUGGGUACUAGGUGUUGCGGGUAUUGACCCCUGCAGUGCCAAAGCUAACGCAUUAAGUACCCCGCCUGGGGAGUACGGCCGCAAGGCU
rnacentral:rRNA from 1 species